CCUUAUUCCACAACAGACGAGGAGGAUUGGAGUGCAGCCUGACUUUUCACUAUAGAGCAGUAAAAUGAGUGUCAACACUCACACAAUCCUAGAAUUAUUCUCUAACAAUACGGCACCAGUUGCAGAAUGAGUCUUAUAUUAACCAAGAUUCUGGAUGUGAAGCUGCUGUUUAACAAGUUAAGUAGGUAAUAAGUUUUACAAAGCUCAACUUCUUAACUACCUCUUGCAUUCAAAACAGAAUAUUUUAAAUUGGAGUUAGGUAAAUUGUAGGCCUGCACAAUAUGAGGAAAAUAUGUGCUAACGUUAAAUAUAGCAAUAAAAAUAUUACUUGUGAUAAAUAAUAUUAAAGUGUACUCAGUUUUGCCUUUCUGCUGCUUUUAUGUAUUGUGCUAAAAUACAGCAAAUAUCUUGUUGAAUUAAAAAACCCGAGGCACCAAUAA